CCAUGAGCGUACCUGCCCCUGGGGCUGUGUGAAGAACAGAUGGGACCAUGUGGUACAGCUGCUAGCACAGUGAGCAGUCAAUCACGGCUGUUGUUGCUAUCACCAUUGUCAUUAGCAGUAGCAAUGAUGGUGGUGCUCUAGCCCCAUCGGCACCGAUCCCUGACCCCCAUUCUGGGGGUAAGCCUUACUUGAGGAAUGUAAAAGGCUUAAAAGGGACAGACUUAAAAAAAAAAAUAGUUUCCUUUACUGAAAAGCAAAAAGCAGAAGCCUUAAGUUGCAUUUUAUUUACUGAGGUUUUAAAAAAAAUUGUGGCAAAAGAUAAAUAAAAUUUACCAUUUUAAUCAUUUGAAGUGUAUAAUUCAGUGGCAUUAAGUAAAUCUGUAAAGCUCUACGACCAUCACCACCAUCCAUUUCCAGACAUUUUUGUCAUCCCAAAGAGAAAUUCUGUACACAUUAAACAGUAACUCCCCACCACUCCCAACCUGAGGAGCAGUGUGGGACAGGACACCAUGCAAGGUGAAGACCCUCCCCAGCAUCCUGCGUUUUGCAAGGACCUAGUGCCUGCUCAGCUGUCACCCGUCAGGCAGAACACCGAAACUCAGCCACAAGCUGCUGCUGCCAUCCCCAGCAUAUAACGAAGGAAAAAUUAAGCAAGUGUGUGCUUCUUUAGCCUCCUCUCUUAAUACUGCAUCUUCAGAAUUAAAACUGUGGUGGGCCAGAGUCCUUUUGGUGGCCACGUAUUACCUCUGACCAUCACCUGCUGCUCAAACCCACACUCACGCCACUGCAUGAUCCCUUCCACCCCAGGGCCCUUGCACACGAUGAGCCCCUGGCCUGCAAUGCCCUUCCUUCACUUCCUUCAUCGUCACCUUCUCAGUAAAGCCCUCCCUGCCUCUUUUGUAAAUUUCUUCCCAUCCUCUAUACCCUUCCCACCUCUCUCCCCAUCUUUAGCUUUUCCCUGUAUCACUUAUUCAACACAGCAUAGAUUUUGUUGAAGGCAGGGGUUUCUGCCUUCUGUUUAAUGCUAGCUGCCCAGUGCCUAGAAAAGUGCCUGGCAUCCAGUAGGUGUUCAAUAGAUAUUUAUAGAGUUAAAUGCACUAAACUUAGGAGGCGGAAGUUGUUUUUUUUGGAGGCCUUUGCCCAUUUCACUCCCUCCUUCCCGUUCCACCUUCUAGGUUUCUCAUUCCCUCUGCUUCUUCUCUUUUGCUGGCUCUGGCCUGCAGCCCUCUUGCCCCUGGUGUAAAGGGCUCAAAACGCCAGACAGCUCUGCCGCCAUGGGGAGGAGACCCUGACUGAGAAGCCAGGGCCCCGGCCUCCAGGGUCACCAGUACCUUGGGCAGGCCGGGGUGUCGCUGGGGCUUGGGUGACUCCACCAGGCAUGGAGGGGGUGGGUACUCCCAGCUGGCUCGCCAACCUUCGCUUCUUGCCUCGCAAAGGCAACCUGGCGGAGGGUCUGUGGGUCAAGCAGAGUCCAGCUCUAGUUUCUCCCCUUCCAGGCUGUGCGCCCUCAGCCAGGCCUCUCCUCGCCUACAGGGCUCGCGGACACUUCUGACCCUCACUGAGGUCGUAAAGAUUACAAGUCAGUGGUCCACAACGACUGGCGUCGGGCCCGCCGCAUACCCACUAUGUACGACUGGCCGCUAAGUCAGCCGAGGCCCUGGGGCUCCGCUCCACAACCCAGCCCACGGUCAGCUUUCCUGGGCUGCUCCGUCCCGCGAGGCCAUCGCCCCAUUCAUAUUCGGCAGGGCAUUUCCACGCGUCCCGUCUCAGGCAAGCCCCAGAGCACCCUUUUUCGGGCAACACUGUGCCCACUUCACUGGAGAGGGAACUGAGGUCCACGUCAUUGGGAGAGGAACACGUGACAUAUUGAGCUCUUUCCUCAGCAAGUGACCUAACCCGCCUUGCCCUCGGCCGUGAGCAGAGGGCCAGACCGGAAGUCCGCUAGCUCUGCUGUUCCGAGGCCCGCCAGUCUCCAAACCCCGGUCUUAGAUCGAGGUCUCUGGCCGUUUCCCUCCGCAGCAAAACCCUUGUUCCAGGACUACACCAGACGGGUCACACGACCUAGAUCGGCACGGUCACAUGUCCCGCAGUCCGGUCAUGUGCACCCUCG
rnacentral:lncRNA from 1 species